GAUGAACGCUGGCGGCAGGCCUAAUACAUGCAAGUCGAACGGUAGCAGGUUCUUCGGAAUGCUGACGAGUGGCGAAUGGGUGCGUAACGCGUAUAUAACUUGCCUUAAAUUGGAGGAUAGCUCUACGAAAGUGGAAUUAAUACUGCAUGAUACUAUAAGGUCUCCUGGUCUAAUGGUUAAAGUUUCGAUGAUUUAAGAGAGGUAUGCGUAACAUUAGUUAGUUGGUGAGGUAAUGGCUCACCAAGACGAUGAUGUUUAGGGGUUCUGAGAGGAUGAUCCCCCACACCGGAACUGAGACACGGUCCGGACUCCUACGGGAGGCAGCAGUAGGGAAUAUUGGUCAAUGGGCGGAAGCCUGAACCAGCCAUGCCGCGUGCGGGAGGAAGGCGCUCGUCGUCGUAAACCGCUUUUAUAUAGGAAGAAAGAGGUCUUGCGAGGUCAGUUGACGGUACUAUAUGAAUAAGCACCGGCUAACUCCG
rnacentral:rRNA from 1 species